rnacentral:rRNA from 1 species
UACAGAGGGUGCGAGCGUUAAUCGGAAUUACUGGGCGUAAAGCGUGCGUAGACGGUUAUUUAAGUCGGGUGUGAAAGCCCCGGGCUCAACCUGGGAAUUGCAUUCGAGACUGAAUAGCUAGGGUACGGUAGAGGGAAGUGGAAUUUCCGGUGUAGCGGUGAAAUGCGUAGAGAUCGGGAAGAACAUCGGUGGCGAAAGCGCUCUACUGGACCGCAACUGACACUCAGGGACGAAAGCUAGGGGAGCGAAUGGG